AGGGCUUAGGCACCUUCGCGCCCUAGCUCUUUCCGAUUUCUUCUCUGACAGGGCGGGUGGUUGUCUUGGUGACUGCUCCCUAACGGUCUGGUGACCCCGAGAUACUUGUAGAGGGUUUGCAGCACUGAAGACGCCUGUGGUUCCUCCAAGUGUCCGAGAUCCUUCCAGAUUUAACUGCUUCUGUACAAUCUUACACGGACAAAAUCAGAGUCAUUCUCUCCUGGAGCUUGGAGAAGAUUGAUCCAGAAUAAUAAAAUGUCUCGAAAAAUGCCCAAGGAGUCAAAAAAAGUAAACAUUUCUAGUUCUCUGGAGUCUGAAGAUAUUAGUUUGGAAACAACCAUUCAUACAGAUGACAUUUCCUCAUCAGAAGAGCGAGAGGGUAAAGUCAAAAUCACCAGGCAAUUAAUUGAAAGAAAAGAAAUGCUUCAUAAUAUUCAGCUACUGAAAAUCGAGCUAUCCCAAAAAAAUAUGAUGAUCGACAAUUUGAAAAUGGAUUAUCUCACAAAGAUUGAAGAGUUGGAGGAAAAACUUAAUGAUGCCCUUCACCAGAAGCAGCUGCUAACUUUGAGAUUAGACAAUCAGUUGACUAUUCAACAGAAGGAUGCCAAGAAAUAUCAAGAACUAAUGAAACAAGAAAUGGAAACCAUUUUAUUGAGACAGAAACAACUGGAAGAGACAAAUCAGCAGCUAAGAGAGAAAGCUGGAGAUGUCCGUCGAAACCUGCGUGACUUGGAGCUGACGGAAGAGCAGUAUGUGAAGCUAAAAUCCUUUCCUGAAGACCAGCUUUCUAUCCCUGAAUAUGUGUCUAUUCGGUUCUAUGAGCUAGUCAAUCCAUUAAGAAAAGAAAUAUAUGAACUACAAGUGAAAAAGAAUGAACUGUCUGAAGAACUCAGCACAAACAAAGGCCAACUGAAGCAGCUGACAGAGACAUAUGAGGAAGAUCGAAGAAACAACUCGGAACUUCAAAUCCGAUGUCAGCGCCUGGCCUUGGAAUUGGCAGACACCAAACAGUUAGUUCAGCAAGGCGACUACCGUCAAGAGAACUAUGACAAAGUCAAGAGUGAACGCGAUGCUCUUGAACAGGAAGUACUUGAAGUUCGGAGAAAACAUGAAAUACUUGAAGCCUCUCACAUAGCUCAGGCUAAAGAAAGAAGUGAAUUAUCAAAAGAGGUAACCACCUUGCAACAGACAGUCACCCUCCUGCAGAAGGAUAAAGAGUACCUCAAUCGCCAAAACAUGGAACUCAGCGUACGCUGUGCGCACGAGGAAGAUCGCCUGGAGAGGCUGCAGGUGCAGCUGGAGGAGAGCAAGAAGGCUAGAGAAGAUAUGUACGAGAAAUACGUGUCAUCCAGAGACCAUUAUAAAACAGAAUAUGAAAAUAAACUACAUGAUGAACUGGAACAAAUCAGAUUGAAAACUAAUCUAGAAAUUGAGCAGCUUCGAAAUGCCUCUAGGGAAAUGUAUGAACGAGAAAACAGAAAUCUUCGAGAAGCCAGGGAUAAUGCUCUCGCUGAAAAGAACCGAGCGGUGACAGCCGAAAAAGAUGCUCUAGAAAAGCAUGAGCAGCUCCUUGACAGGUACAGAGAGCUCCAGCUUAGCGCCGAAAGCAAAGUAUCGGAAUUUCUCCAUCAGAGUAAGUUGAAGGCCUUCGAGAGUGAACGCAUUCAACUCCUGCAGGAGGAAACUGCAAGAAACCUCACACAGUGCCAGAUGGAAUGUGAAAAGUAUCAGAAGAAAUUAGAGGUUUUAACUAAAGAAUUUUAUAGUCUCCAAAGCUCUUCUGAAAAACGCAUUACUGAACUCGAAGCGCAGAACUCUGAUCAUCAGGCAAGGUUAGACAUUUACGAGAAAUUGGAAAAAGAGCUUGACGAAAUAAUAAUGCAGACAGCAGAAAUUGAAAAUGAAGAUGAGGCUGAGAGGAUUCUUUAUUCCUAUGGCUAUGGUGCUAAUGUUCCCACAACAGCUAAAAGACGACUAAAGCAAAGCGUCCACUUGGCAAGAAGAGUUCUUCAGUUAGAAAAACAAAAUUCAUUAAUUUUAAAAGAUCUGGACCAUCAAAAGGACCUAAUAAGACAGCUUUCCCAAGAGCGUGACAGAGCCAAUUCACUGCUAAAUCAGACUCAGCAACCCUACAGAUACCUCAUAGAGUCUGUGCGGCAGAGGGAUUCCAAGAUUGAUUCACUGAUGAAGUAUACAGCUCAACUUGAGAAGGACAUCAGCAAUCUAAAUAAAGAAAAGUCAGCCCUGCUGCAGACGAAGAAUCAAAUGGCACUGGAUCUGGAGCAGCUUCUAAACCACCGAGAGGAAUUUGCGGCCAUGAAACAGAUCAUCAUUAAUAUGUGUAGUAAACAUUCUGAGAACAACUUACUUCUUUCUAAAGUGGAAUCAAAAGGUGUGACAGAAAAUCAAGCAUCUAAGAUUCUGAACAUGCCAAGAGAACAUGAAGACAAUGUGUUUAUACCCAAGCCAACACUAUUUAAUGUCUGGCAGACUCUUUGGUGAAACAGGAACCCUGAAGGACCAUCUCACCUUUAGGCAAGUUCAGCAGUCAUUUCUCUGUGUGUUCUGCAUGUCCAGUUCAUCAAGCAGUCCAGGCAAGAGCAGUUUCUUGCCCAAAUGGCUAACAAACUACAUAAAUAGCCUCUUCAAUGCCCAUCUUCCUCUUGAAGUAGAUUGGUACUUCCAGAAGCAGAUUUGUCUGUCUCAUGUCAUAAAAAGUCCUAACCUCCUAAAACAUUUUAAAUGCCAUAUUCUGAAGGUCUCUGAAAGAUUUGAAGAAUCCCUCUCUAACUGAAAUAUGUCUCUAUAUAUCUAGAAAACAUGACUAACAUGACUACAAGCUUGUCUAUUAUGGACGACUAUCUAUUAACCUAUAUUUCUUAAUUAUACAUUACAUUUUUAAAUGAGCUGCACAAACAUAAUACCUUAAUCAAGAGCAGAAAUAUAACAAAAUUGGCUUUAAAUUUAUAUCAAUAAAUCAAGAUCCAUACCAGUGCAAAUUAUUCAUCUUUAUAACAUAACACCCUUUAAAUGUAAACAAACAUUUAUAAACAAUCAUUUAGGGAAUUUGGGUGUAGUUCUUUCUAAACUGCUUCUUGCUUUUUGCUGGGCAAAGUAUUUUUAGGUGGUGUUCAUGGCAACCUUUCAGAAGAUCUUGGUCCAUCAAACCACAUUAGUCUGGAAAGAUUCCACAGGUUCUCAUCUUCUGUGGAAACAAAAGAAGAACCUCUUUUCCAAAGCAACAAAUCCUUAUACCCAAAUUUUGAAGCCAAGACUAAAACAGAUGCACAAGAAUGGUCCAAGAACCAAAAGAUGAAGGCCUAGUGUUUGGUGCUGGAAAAAGCCAGAACGUAACCCUAACCUAGCCAGGCCCCUCCCUCCGCACUGCACCCCCAGCCAGGCCCCUCCUUCCACACCACGCCCCCAGCCAGGACCCUCCCUCCGCACUGUGCCCCCCAGCCAGGCCCCUGCUUUGGAGUAGAGUGUGUACUCCAGAAGUGCUGUCUCUGUUGGGGGAAAAACGUUCAUUUUAAUCAUGUACUUGACAUUUUCAAAUAUAAGUAACUUAAUGUUUAUUUUAACUAAUGUUAAAUUAACAAAUUUCAGUAUAAUCAAUAUAUAAAGUACAAAUAGUCGUAUGCUUUAUAUUUUGGUUUUAUGUAUUUUGUUAUAAAAUAAAUGCCUUCUAUC